rnacentral:rRNA from 1 species
CCUACGGGGGGCAGCAGUGAGGAAUAUUGGUCAAUGGACGAGAGUCUGAACCAGCCAAGUAGCGUGAAGGAUGACUGCCCUAUGGGUUGUAAACUUCUUUUAUAUGGGAAUAAAAUGUUCCACGUGUGGGAUUUUGUAUGUACCAUAUGAAUAAGGAUCGGCUAACUCCGUGCCAGCAGCCGCGGUAAUACGGAGGCUCCGAGCGUUAUCCGGAUUUAUUGGGUUUAAAGGGAGCGUAGGUGGAUUGUUAAGUCAGUUGUGAAAGUUUGCGGCUCAACCGUAAAAUUGCAGUUGAAACUGGCAGUCUUGAGUACAGUAGAGGUGGGCGGAAUUCGUGGUGUAGCGGUGAAAUGCUUAGAUAUCACGAAGAACUCCGAUUGCGAAGGCAGUUCACUGGACUGCAACUGACACUGAGGCUCGAAAGUGUGGGUAUCAAACAGGAUUAGAUACCCCUGUAGUC